UACGUAGGGUGCAAGCGUUGUCCGGAAUUAUUGGGCGUAAAGAGCUCGUAGGCGGUUUGUCGCGUCUGCUGUGAAAACUCGGGGCUUGACCCCGGGCCUGCAGUGGGUACGGGCAGACUAGAGUGCGGUAGGGGAGACUGGAAUUCCUGGUGUAGCGGUGAAAUGCGCAGAUAUCAGGAGGAACACCGGUGGCGAAGGCGGGUCUCUGGGCCGUAACUGACGCUGAGGAGCGAAAGCAUGGGGAGCGAACAGG
rnacentral:rRNA from 1 species